GAUGAACGCUAGCGGCAGGCUUAAUACAUGCAAGUCGAGGGGCAGCAGGUCCCGCAGCAAUGCGGGAUGCUGGCGACCGGCAAACGGGUGCGGAACACGUACAGAACCUUCCUUUAAGUGGGGAAUAGCCCGGGGAAGCCCGGAUUAAUACCCCGUAACAUAAUGAAGUGGCAUCACUUUAUUAUUAUAGCAGCAAUGCGCUUGAAGAUGGCUGUGCGGCUGAUUAGGUAGUUGGCGGGGUAACGGCCCACCAAGCCUACGAUCAGUAACUGGCGUGAGAGCACGACCAGUCACACGGGCACUGAGACACGGGCCCGACUCCUACUGGAGGCAGCAGUAAGGAAUAUUGGGCAAUGGACGCAGGUCUGACCCAGCCAUGCCGCGUGGAGGAUGAAGGUCCUCUGGAUUGUAAACUUCUUUUAUCUGGGAAGAAAUCUAUUUUUUCUAAAGUAGUUGACGGUACCAGAUGAAUAAGCACCGGCUAACUCCGUGCCAGCCGCCGCGGUAA
rnacentral:rRNA from 1 species